ACAGGAGCAAACAGGGCUGGGGCCACUCCCUGCCCAGAACAGAGGGCACACUGUCCAGGAAGCCGAGAGUCUGUAAGCUGUGGUCUCGCUAUUCCUCGUGGGAUCCACAUAUGGAAGAAACCACAUCUUUUUCUCCCUGAAGAGCCAAGUGCAGUAAGAUCUGUUUUCACAGGAGCUGUAACUCGUCCAUUCCACUGCACUGAGUCCUGGGUGGACGAGUGGCUGAAAGGCUGCUUCAGGAAGUUCAAGUAAAAGAGGGAAGCUGCUAGAUUAAUAAGGUUGCCCUGUCUUGUGAAAGGGCUGCGUGGAGAUUCAAGUCCUUGGCAUUAAAAGGAAAAUUACCGUGUACUUCUGUGCAGACUCAUGUGUAGCAGCGGGAAUGAUCUGGGCUUCAAAUAUCAAAAACCCCAAGGUGGACAUCUCUGUGGUCUCACGUGGCAAACAGAACCAUCGAAUACCACCAUGCAGCCACCAUGGAGAAAAUGUUCAUCCCUUGCACUGGUUAGUUUAUUCAUCAAAUAUGUACUGAUGUCCAUCGGAUACAGGGCAGGGAGAACACAGGAAAGGAGAGGCAGGUCCUGCCCUUGGGGAGCUUCUGGUCUAGACGGGACACAGGCUUCUCUCCACAGCUCCGCUUCGAGGCUGGAGGGGCGUGGCGAGGGAAGAUGUUCCACGGAGGAGACACAGCCCCCCAGAGGAGGCUGGGCUGCACCCCCCAGGAUGCCUUCACGCUGCCUGCCUGGGGGCUGGGCUCGCCUGUGAAGGAGGCUCCUCACCUCCAGGAUGAGCCCCCUCUGCUCCGCCUUUCCUGUGCUAAUGAACCCUGGAUCCUUUAACCUUCCUCCUCAGCCUCUGUCUCUGAGCAGGCAAAUCAUUUUAAAACGCACCUCUGCUCCUCGGUUUCCCUGCUCCGUCCAAUAACUCAAACCUUGAAGAGCUGGCUUUGGUAAAUGGCGGCUGAAGUGGGGAGGGUUUGAACAUUUUCAAAUGUCUGAGCCACACGUGCCAUAGCGUUUCCCACUGGGAAGGGGCCCCUUCUUCCUCUGCUUCCCACCCCAUCCCAGCCAUGCAGGCAUUCCAACAUUUUCAAAUAUCUGAGUCACACGUGUCAUAGAGUUUCCCACUGGGAAGGGGCCCCUCCUUUCUCUGCUUCCCGCCCCAUCCCAGCCAUGCAGGCGUUCCCAUCGCGACACUAUUCACUCAGUAUUCAAUAGUCACUCACUGAAGCUGUGGAAGAAAAGUUAUGACCAAACUAGAUAGCAUAUUCAAAAGCAGAGACAUUACU